GAAUAUUGGGCAAUGGCCGGAAGGCUGACCCAGCGACGCCGCGUGUGGGAGGAAGCCCUGCGGGGUGUAAACCACUGUCAGGAGGGACGAAAGAGCCGGGGGUGAAUAAUCCCUGGCAGUGACGGUACCUCCAAAGGAAGCACCGGCUAACUCUGUGCCAGCAGCCGCGGUAAUACAGAGGGUGCGAGCGUUGUUCGGAAUUACUGGGCGUAAAGCGCGCGCAGGCGGAUCCUGUAAGUCGGAAGUGAAAUUUCGGAGCUCAACUCCGAAGCUGCUUCUGAUACUGCGGAUCUGGAGACCGGUAGAGGUCGGUGGAAUUGCUGGUGUAGCGGUGGAAUGCGUAGAGAUCAGCAAGAACACCCGUGGCGAAGGCGGCCGACUGGGCCGGAUCUGACGCUGAGGCGCGAAAGCGUGGGGAGCAAAC
rnacentral:rRNA from 1 species